AUUGAACGCUGGCGGCAGGCUUAACACAUGCAAGUCGAGCGAGAGGCGGACGGGUGAGUAAUGUCUGGGAAACUGCCUGAUGGAGGGGGAUAACUACUGGAAACGGUAGCUAAUACCGCAUACCAUCAGAUGUGCCCAGAUGGGAUUAGCUAGUAGGUGGGGUAACGGCUCACCUAGGCGACGAUCCCUAGCUGGUCUGAGAGGAUGACCAACCACACUGGCACGGAGAAACGGUCCAGACUCCUACAGUAGGCAGCAUGGGGGAAUAUUGCACAAUGGGUGCAAUGCGGAUGCAGCGAUGGCGCGGGUGUGAAGAGGGCCUUCGGGUUGUAAAGCACUUGCAGCGAGGAGGCGUUACUCGCAGAAGAAGGACCGGCUAACGCCGUGCCAGCAGCCGCGGUAAUAC
rnacentral:rRNA from 1 species